GCGCCAAUCCUAUUGGUGCAAAAAUCCGCUUGCGCCGGAGAAGCUGGAGUCGAGGGAGUCGCGGUCGCCGUCGGGACCUGCAAAAGAAGUCUAAACCGGAGGUGGGGUUGCUCCGGCAAGACCCUCCGAUGCUCAAGUCAGUUCUCUGCCUCAAUAAAAAUGGAGUGCUCGAACGAAAAUUUUAGCAAAGUUUUUAGGUAAAAAAUGAGAGCUUAAAGAAUAAUGUAUCUGGGGCCCCCUUUUAUAGGCGAAAAGGGGGCAGCA
rnacentral:lncRNA from 1 species